UGCGGUUUUCGGCCACGCGAUCGUGAUCGAACGAUCUAGAUGAUGGAGAAGGCUUAGGUGGGUUUUGGGCCAAAUUGGAGGGGUGUUGGGCUGCAACACACACGAGGCCUUUUCGGUCUCUUGGUUAACCGUUGGAGUAUCAAACGAAGUCCAAAUGAUACGAAACUUGACAGACGGUCUACCGGUAGUAAACCAAGGCCGCUUGGCAAGUCUCGGUCCAAUCCGGAAAUGUUUAAUCCCCACACACGAAAGAAAGCUAGAAUUGGCCACCGGAGGAGAACGAAGCGCCGGAAUGCAAAACAGACAACGGGGAAAAUGCUCGAAUGCAUGAGACGAACACGUAUGCAAAUGCAAUGCACAUGAUGACAUGAUAUGAGAUGCAUGACAACGAUAACAACACACGGAGACAAAGACCCAAACCCGAGAAAAUAAAAUAACUUAACGCCGAAAACGGCAAGAGUUGGAGUACAAAUUGGGAAAGUUACAUCCGGGGUGUUACAACACUCCACCACUACGAAAGGAUCUCCUCCCGAGAUCUAGGACUGAAAGAACGCCGGGUACUCAGAAUGGAGGUGAUCCUCUCGUUCCCAGGUAGCUCCACGGUCGGAAUGGUGUGACCACUUGACUUUGAGAAAUUUGAUUGACUUGUUGCGAGUCUUGCAUUCAGUCUCUUCGAGAAUAGCAACUGGGUGCUCACGAUAAGAGAGAUCUUCUUGGAGCUCAAUGUCCUCGAAGUUGACGGUGCGGUCAGGAGUCUUGAAGCACUUUCGAAGCUGAGAGACAUGGAACACGUCAUGAACAUUUGCAAAGUUUGAAGGAAGCUCGAGUUGAUAGGCGAGGUCGCCUCUCUUGCUGACAAUCUUGAAAGGUCGCACGUAUCUGGGGGCAAGCUUCCCUUUGAUACCGAAGCGACGAGUACCUUUCAUAGGAGAGACGCGGAGGUAAACAUGAUCUCGAUCUCGAAAGCCAAAUCACGGUGCUUACUAUCAUAGUAGCUCUUCUGACGGGAUUGGGCUGCUUUGAGGUUAUCACGAAUGACUUUGCACAUUUCUUCUGCCUCUGUGAUUAAGUCAUUACCCAAAAGCUGACGUUCACCGGUUUCAGACCAGUUGAGAGGGGUACGACACUUCCUGCCAUACAGAAUUUCAAAUGGGGCUUUGCCCAAACUUGCUUGAAAACUGUUGUUGUAGGAGAAUUCAGCAUAAGGAAGACAAUCCUCCCACUUCAUGCCGAAGGAGAUCACACAAGCCCUGAGCAUAUCUUCAAGAAUCUGGUUGACACGCUCGACUUGACCGCUAGUUUGAGGAUGGAAAGCUGUGCUGAAGCGGAUGUUGGUGCCCAUGGCCUUCUGAAAAGAAUCCCAAAACUUGGAUGUAAAGAUGUUGCCACGGUCUGAAGAGAUCAUUUGUGGAAUACCGUGCAGAGAGACAAUACGAGAGGUAUAGAGUUCCCCCAAUUGAGCUGCAGUGAUCGACUCUUUGAUAGGCAGAAAGUGAGCCACUUUAGUGAGUUUGUCGAUGACAACGAAUAUAGCAUCAUUGCCACGCUUGGACUUUGGAAACCUAGUCACGAAGUCCAUUUCAAUGUGGUCAAACUUCCAUUCUGGAAUGGCAAGAGGUUGGAGGAGACCAGCUGGCCUUUGGUGUUCUGCCUUCACUCUUUUGCAGACAUCACAUUCAUUCAGGAAUUGAGCGAUCUCGCGCUUCAUUCGAGUCCACCAAUAAGCCUGCUUAAGGUCCUGAUACAUCUUCGUGCUCCUAGGGUGGAUGGAGAGGAGAGAAUUGUGAGCCUCGUUCAUGAUCACUUUACGGAGGUCACCUUUGGGUACAACAAUACGAUCCUCGAAGAAGAGAGUGUCCUUGUCAUCAAGGCGGUAGCACUUGUACUUGGGUUGACUCUUGGCAAUCCCAAUCUUCACCUUUUUCACCAUAGCAUCAAGAAGCUGGGCUUGGAGAAUCUGAUCUUCCAAGGUAGGAGAGACUUGAAGGUUGGCAAGGAAACCUUAAGGAACAACUUGCAGAUUAAGUUUGCGGAAAGCUUCACAAAGCUCGGGUUGAUAAGGCUUGAGAAUCAGACUGUUGCAGUAAGCCUUUCUGCUCAAUGCGUCAGCAAUCACAUUGGCCUUGCCUGGAGUAUACUCGAUACUCGGAUUAUACUCUUGAAUCAUAUUUACCCAUCGAGUUUGCCUGAGGUUGAGAUUAGGCUGAGUGAAGAUGUACUUGAGACUCUUGUGAUCGGUGAAAAUGUCCACUUUUCUUCCCAAUAGAAGAUGUCUCCAAGUCAAAAGAGCAUGCAUAACUGCCGCCAACUCGAGAUCAUGAGUGGGGUAGUUCUUCUCAUUAGGCUUCAACUGGCGAGAGGUAUAAGCAACAACUUUCUUCUCUUGCAUCAAAACUGCGCCAAGACCUUGGAGAGAGGCAUCACAAAAGACCUCGUACGGCUUGGAUUCAUUAGGCAGAGUUAGAACUGGAGCAGUGAUCAAUUUCUCUUUCAAAGUGUUGAAAGCAAUGUCACACUCCGGAGACCAAACGUACUUGACGUGCUUCUGAAGAAGAUUUGAGAGAGGCUUCGCGAUCUUAGAAAAGUUUUCAAUGAAUCUUCGGCAGUAGCUUGCGAGACCGAGGAAGCUACGGAGUUGCUUCACGUUCUGAGGAGGUUCCCAAUUCACAAUUGCAGACACCUUCUCAGGAUUCACGGCAAUACCCUUUGUAGAGAUGAUAUGACCAAGAUAAAGAACCUCAUCGAGCCAAAAUUCACACUUGGAGAACUUGGCGUAGAACUGAUGUUCCCUCAACUUAUCGAGCACCAAACGCAAGUGCUUGGCAUGAUCUUCCUUGUUCUUCGAGAAAACCAGAAUGUCGUCGAGAUAGACCAAAACGAAGUCAUUGGUGCAGGCGUUGAAGAUGAAGUUCAUCAUGCGAGAGAACGUCAGAGGAGCGUUGACGAGGCCAAAAGACAUGACAGUGUAUUCAUAUGAACCAUAGCUUGUCCUGUAAGCCGUCUUGGGAAUAUCUUGCUCACGGAUUCGAAUCUGAUGAUAACCCAUACGGAGAUCAAGCUUGGAGAAUACUUGGGCACCUUUGAGUUGUUCGAACAGCUCAUUGAUGUUGGGAAGUGGGUAUUUGUUCUUGAUGGUCUUCUUGUUCAAUGGACGGUAAUCAACACAAAGCCGGUCCGUUCCAUCCUUCUUCUUCACAAAGAGAACACCGCAACCCCACGGAGAAGAACUAGGCCGGAUGAGACCCAUUUUCUCUUGAAUAUCGAGUUGCUUCUUCAGCUCCUUCAACUCUUCAGGUCCGAGCUUGUAAGGACAUUUGCACACAGGUUCUGUGCUAGGCUCAAGAUCAAUAACGAAUUCAACUGGCCGGUGUGGAGGCAUUCCUGGAAGCUCUUCUGGAAAGACGUCUUGAUAUUCGCAAACGACUGGAAUCUGCGAGAUAGCAUCCAGUUCACCCUUCUCAUUGAGAGAAAACAGACGGAUAAUAUCAUCAUUCGCGGCAAAGACAAUUACAUCCUCAGACGAAUGAGUCAAUUGAAUCUGCCUGGCUGCAUAAUCAAGCUGAGCCUUGUGCUUAGAAAGCCAAUCCAUUCCGAGAAUAAGAUCAAUAUCCGAGUUACCAAGAACCAUUGGGGAAGCCAGAAACUUGAAAUCACCCAUCAUGAUAGAAAUAUCCGGGACUAUUGAAGUAGCCCUCAUAGACUUAGCCGGAGAACCACUCCCAUAGGUUUACCCAACAUUUGUGAAAUGAAGUCAUGCUUGGAAACAAAUGAUCUUGACAUGAAACAAUGCAAUGCGCCGGUGUCAAAAAGAACUUUUGCGGGAAUAGAGUUAACUGGGAAGUUACCCAUGAUGACAUCUGACGAGUCCUCUGCCUGAGCUGCAUUCAGCAAGUUGACCUUAGCGUGCUUGGGGUUAUGCUUAACCAUAGCUGUACUUGCCGAUCUGACAGGAGGAGGAGGAAGACGCUUCUGAUUGAAACACUUGUUGGCAUAGUGACCCUUCUAUUGGCACUUGUUGCACGUGACCUCUGAAAGCGGAUGGUGAUACGGAGCACUCGAUCUUGGAGCUUGAGACGAAGUCUUGUUCUGAAAGCCAGGGUUGGGUGGGUGGGAAGAACCACUGCCACCUUUGUUCUUCUACUGAUACGGCUGACGGAACGGAGGAGGAGGAAGCCAAUACUUCUGCUGCUUGGCCACUUGAGUAGAGGAAGAAGGAGUAACAUCUCUGACUCGCUUCUUGGAAGCAUCACACCUCAACUGAGCAGCCUCUUGCUUCAGUGCCAUGUUGUAGAACUCAUCGUAUCUCAAGGGCUCAAAGAGAACAAGAGCUAGCUGAAUUUCUUCUCUGAGACCACCCCUGAACUAGUAUAUCAUGCUCUUCUCAUCAGGCACGUCCUGCUUGGCAAAGCAGGCGAGCUUCUGGAACAACUUGUUGUAGUCAUCGACAGACAAAGAACCUUGCUUCAGGUUGCGGAAUUCCUCACGCUUGCUUUCAAUCACGCUCUGAGGAAUAUGAUGAGCUCGGAAAUCUUGACGAAAUUCAUCCCAAGUGAUAACACGUCCACCUCUGGAGUCCUUGUACUGCUGGAACCAUUCUGCAGCUUGAUCUUUGAGUUGUAAGGAAGCGAACUUAACAAAGUCCUCAGGCCUGACAUUACUGCACUCGAAAUGCUUGCACAGAUCCACAAGCCAAUCGUCAGUAUCGGUUGCCUCAACACAAUUGCUGAAAGUCUUUGGCUCGUUAGCAAGGAACUGGUUGAGUGUAGCAGAGUGAUUCUGAUCGUUGCCUUGAUUGCGCCCUUGAAGAAUUUGCAUGAUCAACUGUGUGUUUGCAUUGGUUGCGGCCAUCACAGCUUGCCAUGCCUCCGGAGGAGGUGGAGGUGGUGGCGGAUCAGGAUUCGGAGUCGUGCGCGUUGGAGGAGCCAUCCUGAAGAGGUUGACAUCCAUUAGCACAUUGAUAGACAAAUAUUGAAGCUGAAUCCAACGGAAUGAAAAUUGCAACAUAUAGUCUUCACAUCCAAACAAAAUGAACGAAUGCAUUCCUCUUGAAAUGGUCACAUAUCCAUAAAUUGAGAAGCCACGUAGAAUUAAGGUAGAGAAAUAAAUCAACAAGGUACGGAUCAAGAAUGAAUAAUCGGUAAGAAAUCCCAAUCUCAAACCAAUAUCUGUGGAAGAAGAACUAGAGCUACUAGAAUUCCCACCUAUAAAACUCCCGAACCUUUCCGGUUAUGCAAUCAGGUGUUGGGGAUACAGGGGAAGCAUAAUAUCUCACCCAAACUAGCAAAUCCUACAUCCAGCUGUAUCCAUCCUUCAACACAUAACCAAGAAAAACUUCGGAAACCAUCUACCUCAACCUUCAAAAAGCAUCCAUUAUACAAGUUAUGGCGAUACUCCUGAACUCCCGCCCCAGUACUGGGUGGCGUCGAGGUAAUCUCACCAACGAACUGCAUAAAAGAGAUUUUCGAUGUCGGCGUACUAAACUCAGGUAUUCCAGAACUGCAACGAUAAAAUUAUGAUGACAACACCUCAGAGCUCAACUCCCCGGGACACUUCCACAAAACCCCUGACAGGAGGCAUCAAGACAAUGUUCUCAUCAUAAAACCAUCGGAACGAUUCCAAGAUACCCACGUGAUCUUAAUUUUUUUUGUGAAAUUUGAGAAGAGAAGAGUCAAAACUCUACGUCAGGAAGCCUUACCAGAGCGAUGAGGAGACUGGGAAGUAAAAGAAUUCCUAAACUCUCUCAUAUAUAAUUCCUAAAUGACUCAAAAUAUUUUUCUAGACACAACUCGGCCGCUAAGAACGAUCAAGCAAUGGGGCUCCUAAGGUCGAGGAUGGCUCUGAUUACCAACUUGUAACACCCUCGAUGCGACUAUAGAUCCCACGUGUCGAGGCAUGACUUAGAGGCAUAAUCGCAUUGAAGGCAUAUGUCGCAAGUUAGGCAAUCUUCACAACAUCCCAUGUAAUAUGAUAAUAAAAGGGGAGAUAACAUAGUUGGCUUACAGUCGCCAUGUCAAUGAAGUACAUAAAUAACAUUACAUCAUCCAAACACUCAUGGCCCGACUACGACACCAAAAUAAAAGAGAACCCAACAUGCGACAACGGUCCCGUUCACCCCCAACUGGGCACCACUACCGAUCAUCAGGAAAGGAAACAUAGUAACAUUGAGAGUCUUUGUCGAACUCCCACUUGAGCUCAAGUGCGUCUCCUGGAGCGGAAUCAUCAGGCCCUGCAUCUGGUGUAAUAGUAAUCUUUGAGCCACAGGGACUCAGCAAUCUCGCACCCUCGCGAUCAAGACUAUUUAAGCUUAUAGGUAAGGCAAGGUAAAUAUAAGUGGAGCUGCAGCAAGCGACUAGCAAAUAUGGUGGCUAUCCUGUUCGCAAAAGAGAGCGAGAACAGGAGGCAAAGCGCGAGCGAGAAACUAGAGAGUAACCUGUGCAAACAUAACUCCAACACCGUGUCCACUUCCCGGACUCCUCCGAGAAGAGGCCAUCACGGUAACACACUCAGUUGAUUCAUUUUAAUUAAGUUAAGGUUCAAGUUAUCUACCACCGGACAUUAACAAAUUCCCAUCUGCCCAUAACCGCGGGCACGGCUUUCGAAAGUUCAAAUCCCUGCAGGGGAGUCCCAACUUAGCCCAUGACAAGCUCUCACUAUCAACGAAGGAAUAGACCUCCUCCCAAGACGUUCCGAUCAGACUCGGUAUCUCGGUACUUCAAGACAACUCCGACAAUGGUAAAACAAGUCCAGCAACACCACCCGCUAUGCCGACAAAUCCCGAUAGGAGCUGCACAUAUCUCGUUCUCAGGGCACACCGGAUAAGCUAAGCGUACGGGAGCCAACGUAACCCAAGUUGCCAUGGGACGGCCCCGCACGGUGCUCUAGGUUGGACCAACACUCAGAGGAGCACUGGCCCGAGGGGGGGGGGUUAAAAUAAGAUGACCCUUGAGUCCGGGAAACUCAAGGGAAAAGGCUAGGUGGCAAAUGGUAAAACCAAGGUUGGGCAUUGCUGGAGGAGUUUUAUUCAAGGCGGACUAUCAAGGGGUUCCCAUUAUAACCCAACCGCGUAAGGAACGCGAAAUCCGGGAACAUAACACCGAUAUGACGGAAACUAGGGCGGCAAGAGUGGAACAAAACACUAGGCGAGAGGCCGAGCCUUCCACCCUUCACCAAGUAUAUAGAUGCAUUAAGAUAAAAAGAUAAUAUAAUGAUAUCCCAACAAGUAAAUAAAUGUUCCAAGAAGGAACGACCUCCAAUCUUCACCUGCAACUAGCAACGCUAUAAGAGGGGCUGAGCAAAGCGGCAACAUAGCCAAUCAACCGUUUGCUAGGACAUGGUGGGUUAGAGGUUUGACAUGGCAAUUUGGGAGGCUGGAAAGCAAAUGGUAGGCAUCGUAGCAUUGGCAUAGCAAAAGAGCGAGCAAACUAGCAUAGCAAAGAUAGUAGUGAUUUCGAGGGUAUGAUCAUCUUGCCUGCACAGUUGUCAGAGUUGACUGGAUCCUCGAAAGCAAACUCAACGGGCUCCUCGUUAGCAAACUCGUCUCCCAGCUCUACCCAAACAUGACAAACAAGCAACAAGGACACAAUCAACCACGUGCAAGGAUCAAACAGGAUGAUGCAAAGAUGAUAUGCUAUGCGGGAUGCGAUGUGGGAUGCAUAUGCAAGAUGUGACAAGGAAUGCAUGAACCUGGCCUCAACAUGGAAAUCCAAGUGUGCCACUGGAAAGAUGAGAUGAAAUCGCUUGAAAACGAUAUAAAGAACGCCGGAAUCGGAGUUACAGUUUGGAAAUGGCAAGCGAUUCAAAUAUGGCACCGGUUUGCGAUUUACAGCAAGUAGCCAUCUAAAUGCAAUGAGAUGAACAAGCUACAGCGUCCAAACAUGACAACAAAAUACAUGGCAGGGAUGCAUUCAAGAUGCUUAACAAAAGUCUAGCACUGAGCUAUGGCCAAUUCAUCCAUUAACAGGUUCAAACAAGCAUGGCAAAAAUGCAUAUGGCAAACAGAUCUCAGACUUGGUGAAAUUAACACUUGUGUGGAAUUUCAGAUCAGGUAGCACUCUUCGGAGCAACAAAAACUACAUGCUACAGGAACUGAACAUGGCAAAGUAAAGCAUGGAAUGGAGCUACUCAAAGAGCUUAACAAAAGUCCCUUAGUGACUUUGAGCCAAAAGGGAUCAGAAAAUACAAUUGCAAGCAUGUGAACAUAGCAAAAACAUAAUCAGUUUUCAGACUUAGUGAAAACUGGGGCAUGCUGAAAACAUAUAUCAAGUAGGCAUGUUUAUGAGCUCGACGCACUCACUACGGUGCAAGUCAUGAUAAUCUAGGCAUACACCCAUCAAGAACACACAAAAUGCAAGCUAGACAUGGCAAGAACAAUAUUAUAGCAUGUACGGAUCAACUACAACAUCAUCGGCAAAAUUGCAAACAAGUUGACUAUCUGCCCAGAUUCACAAAGUAGCAAGAGUAGAGCUCGAUUGACUCAAGCUAUGGUGCUCCAUAAUUGCAAACAAAGACAUGGAUGGAUAGAGAACUACAAGAUUAACAAAACAUCCUUACUGAUCAUCCUCAAAAGAGGCACGGAUCACUAGGAAACAACAUGAUCAUAUGGCAUCAUGAGAUAAACAGCUCAAGGACUUAGUGGAAUUGCUAAGUCCCUGAAAACAGAGUUACCAAGUGCCUCACUUUGCAAGUUUGUGCUAGUCACCACACACAUCACAAAAAUACAUGGGUUGCACCUCUGGAAAGAUGACAAAACCCUUAACAAAACAUAUGUAGAGCAUCAGGGCAUAUCAUGCACACAUUAAUCAUGGCAAAAAAAGCUAAACGGAGUAGCAGAUCUAACAAUUAUCUCAAGUAGCCCUCUUCUAACAGCAUUUCGGGCAUCAAGAUGAACUCAAAUGAAAAUGAUGCAAUGGAAUGAAAUGUUGUACUCUCUGAGAUGAACAUUUUUAUAUGCUAUAUGCAUGAAACGGAGCUACGGAUGCAAAGUUACGAGGCUAUGAACAUUGCAAAAAAAUAACUAGGACGGACAAAAAGUCAACUGGCUAGGGUUUUCCAGAUUUGGAUCGGGCGACACGGAAAACGAGGAUGGCCGGGGCUCUCGCCGGAGCUGCGGGCCGCGGUGGCCGGAGAGGGGCGCCGGCGACGAGGGAGAGGAGGAGGAGGCCGGGGAGGCGCGGCCGGGCGCGGACGCCGAGGGGCGCGGGAGGCGGUGCGGCGNNNNNNNNNNNNNNNNNNNNNNNNNNNNNNNNNNNNNNNNNNNNNNNNNNNNNNNNNNNNNNNNNNNNNNNNNNNNNNNNNNNNNNNNNNNNNNNNNNNNNNNNNNNNNNNNNNNNNNNNNNNNNNNNNNNNNNNNNNNNNNNNNNNNNNNNNNNNNNNNNNNNNNNNNNNNNNNNNNNNNNNNNNNNNNNNNNNNNNNNNNNNNNNNNNNNNNNNNNNNNNNNNNNNNNNNNNNNNNNNNNNNNNNNNNNNNNNNNNNNNNNNNNNNNNNNNNNNNNNNNNNNNNNNNNNNNNNNNNNNNNNNNNNNNNNNNNNNNNNNNNNNNNNNNNNNNNNNNNNNNNNNNNNNNNNNNNNNNNNNNNNNNNNNNNNNNNNNNNNNNNNNNNNNNNNNNNNNNNNNNNNNNNNNNNNNNNNNNNNNNNNNNNNNNNNNNNNNNNNNNNNNNNNNNNNNNNNNNNNNNNNNNNNGGGCCAAGCGGGCCGGCAGCGCGGAGCGGCGAUGUGGGGCGCCCCGGGGACACGUGGCAGUGGCCCGUUGGUCGGCUGCGGUGGGUGGACGUGUCCGGCCUGAAUCAGACACGUCCGCGGCGAGGGGAGCAGUUUUUUUAGGGUUAGAGAGAGGAGAUCCGAGAUUUGGAAUGGGGGGGUGUAUAUAUAGGCAUAGAGGGAGCUAGGAGAGUCCAAAUGAGGUGCGGUUUUCGGCCACGCGAUCGUGAUCGAAUGAUCUAGAUGAUGGAGAAGGCUUAGGUGGGUUUUGGGCCAAAUUGGAGGGGUGUUGGGUUGCAACACACACGAGGCCUUUUCGGUCCCUCGGUUAACCGUUGGAGUAUCAAACGAAGUCCAAAUGAUACGAAACUUGACAGGCGGUCUACCGGUAGUAAACUAAGGCCGCUUGGCAAGUCUCGGUCCAAUCCGGAAAUGUUUAAUCCCCAC
rnacentral:lncRNA from 1 species